UGGUAUGAGGACCUCCUUAUCUGCAAUUCACAAAGAAAAUAUCAAGCGUUAGACAAUUCCAGAUUCACGACUUUUUCUUUUGGUUCCAGGAAAAUACAAAUCAAUCUCAGAAAGAAGAAAUCCCAUGUAAUUCUGGGAAAUGAAACUUAAUUUAACAGAGAAUGCCCAGUUUGGACACUCAGAAAAAUUAAGGGAAAAAAAAAAGCCUGAUUCUGG